rnacentral:rRNA from 1 species
UACAGAGGUCCCGAGCGUUGUUCGGAUUCACUGGGCGCAAAGGGUGCGUAGGCGGUUCUGAAAGUCUGAUGUGAAAUCUCCGGGCCCAACCCGGAAAUGGCAUUAGAAACUGCAGGGCUAGAGGCUUGGAGGGGGAACUGGAAUGCUCGGUGUAGCAGUGAAAUGCGUAGAGAUCGAGCGGAACACCAGUGGCGAAGGCGAGUUCCUGGACAAGACCUGACGCUGAGGCACGAAAGCCAGGGGAGCAAACAGG